UGUAGCGUCGCACUCAACUCCUUUGGUUGGGUUCGGAAGAAAGAAUAAUCCACUGAAGGAGAUUGUUGUGAUUGGGGAAGAGGACAAGGAGGAAGAUGGAGGAGAGAAACUAUAGGUUGGGUGGUUCACUAGGGCACCAACACCAACGUACAACGUUGAGAGUUCAAGGCCUUGCGGUGGAGUUCUUCACGACCCCAGCUAUCGCCAUAUCUAGAAUUUUAUUUGAUACCGAAAAAAUCCUACUCCUCUGAUUCACCACCACAUCCAACAAUGACGGAAAUUUCACGCAUUCUAUUUCAUACCGAGCAAACCACUUUCAGAUUUGCUUUAGUUCAGAAAAAAGUGGUAGGGAUGACAAUCGUAGUGCCAGCGGCUAGGAGAAGUCCACUGCCAAGGAAUCCCUUGCCCCUUUAUAUAUUUUUUUAAAUGCAGUGCAGGAGGAAAGGGAGGACUGACGAUGGAGAGUGAGUGAAAUAGACGAAGGAAUUGUAGGGUUGCAGAGAGGGCACUUGCAGGGGCGGUGGUUGCCUUUAGAGUGGAGUUUGCGUCAUCUUCAUCUUCAGCUGUUUUCCCUAAAAUUUCAGUAAAGUUUUACCAAUUUGGUGGGCCA